rnacentral:snoRNA from 2 species
UGGCAAUGAUCUUAAAUUUAAGGCUUGUUUCUCAAAUCAUUCGCAGUUGCCUAGCUUUCACCCUGCCAGGCUGAGAGCUAAUGCUGCUAAUUCCUUCCUUGGAUGUCAGAGCCU